GGGAUUACAGGCGUGAGCCCCCACGCCCGGCCACACAGUCUGUUUCUUAUAUGGGUUGCCCUAAGGAACCUUGGAGACAUUUCUUUCCACUGGACAUUUGUGUCUCUGACCUCGUGCUGUCUCUCGUCUAGACACCAGGCAAGUAUUCGGGGUGCCCUUGGAAAGCCCCAGGAUGUGACAGCCAGGGUUCACGUUGGCCAGGUCAUCAUGCCUAUCUGUACCAACAGCAGAACCAUGAGCAUGUGAUUGAGGUCAUACGUGGGGCCAAGUCCAAGUUCCCUGGCUGCCAGAAGAUCUAGAGCACAAAGCAGCGGGCCUUGAUCAGGUUCAAUGCGGAUGAAGCUGAUCCCACAUGGUGGCUGAGAAGCGGCUCCCUCAUCUGGCAUGGCUGGGGGUCAAACGCAGCCCCAGUCGUGGCCUCCCGGGUCUCAAGACGAGCAACAGCCUCUGAGUCACAACUGCGCAGAGAAGCCUAGCAGCCACCUCGGCAGAGCCAUUCCCCCACGUCCAGCCUGAGCGCCAUCUGGAAAGAGACCCUGCUCAGCCGCCCCAGCAUUCCAGAGACCCGCAAGCCACUGUCCCAAUCCCCUCUUCCGGCCCACUCGCAAGCAUUAACUGGCGCUCUUCACUUGUCUUUCUGUUACAUCAGGAGUCAGGGGCACAGUGAGAGCCCCACACAGAAGGUUGAGGUCACGCCACUGACCAGCUGCGGGCCACCAGGCAGAGCAGCCUGGCCGUAGUCCUGGUCACCCAAGUGCCAUCGAUUGGGGCUGCCACCACCAACCCGGUGCCACACCAGCAUUGGCCACCAUUCCUGGUUCCCCACAGCAAGCCUAUAUGACAGGCAAUGGUGUCUCCAUUUUACAGACAAGGAAGCGGACGCCAGGGAGGGUAAGGGCUGGGUUCAAGGCUAGGCAAACAGUGCUGGUGACAACAGCAAGUAGGAACGAAGGCCCUGGCGGAGCCCUUCCUGUGAGCCGGAUGCAGACUGAAAGAGCAGUGCCGGAAAUCCCCAUGCCUCCUAGAGCCACGCGGUUUUCUGUGUGCCCGGAAGCCACACGCCCGAGGACGUGUGGACAGGUGCAAGGAGGACAACCUCGGGAACGGCGAUUCUCGAGGUGCCAUUUGGACCCUGAAUGACAGUGUUUGCUGCUCGUCCUCAGGCCAGAACACUUUAAAUAAAAACAACCCAGACAUUC